AUCCAGUUGAUGAGUCCUACAUUGGAUGAAACGCGCGUCUUGGAU
rfam:Schistosoma curassoni strain Dakar, Senegal genome assembly, scaffold: SCTD_scaffold0002318